rnacentral:rRNA from 1 species
AUUGAACGCUGGCGGCAGGCCUAACACAUGCAAGUCGAGCGGAUGAAGGGAGCUUGCUCCUGGAUUCAGCGGCGGACGGGUGAGUAAUGCCUAGGAAUCUGCCUGGUAGUGGGGGAUAACGUCCGGAAACGGGCGCUAAUACCGCAUACGUCCUGAGGGAGAAAGUGGGGGAUCUUCGGACCUCACGCUAUCAGAUGAGCCUAGGUCGGAUUAGCUAGUUGGUGGGGUAAAGGCCUACCAAGGCGACGAUCCGUAACUGGUCUGAGAGGAUGAUCAGUCACACGGGAACUGAGACACGGUCCAGACUCCUACGGGAGGCAGCAGUGGGGAAUAUUGGACAAUGGGCGAGAGCCUGAUCCAGCCAUGCCGCGUGUGUGAAGAAGGUCUUCGGAUUGUAAAGCACUUUAAGUUGGGAGGAAGGGCAGUAAGUUAAUACCUUGCUGUUUUGACGUUACCAACAGAAUAAGCACCGGCUAACUUCGUG